UACAGAGGGUGCGAGCGUUAAUCGGAAUUACUGGGCGUAAAGCGCGCGUAGGCGGCUUUGCAAGUCGGGUGUGAAAUCCCCAGGCUUAACCUGGGAACUGCAUUCGAGACUGCAUUGCUAGAGUAUGGGAGAGGGAAGUGGAAUUUCAGGUGUAGCGGUGAAAUGCGUAGAUAUCUGAAGGAACAUCAGUGGCGGAAGCGACUUCCUGGACCAAUACUGACGCUCAUGUGCGAAAGCGUGGGGAGCAACAGG
rnacentral:rRNA from 1 species